rnacentral:rRNA from 1 species
GUACACUCCUGCGGGAGGCAGCAGUGGGGAAUUUUGGACAAUGGGCGAAAGCCUGAUCCAGCAAUGCCGCGUGAGUGAAGAAGGCCUUCGGGUUGUAAAGCUCUUUUGUCAGGGAAGAAACGGUGAGAGCUAAUAUCUUUUGCUAAUGACGGUACCUGAAGAAUAAGCACCGGCUAACUACGUGCCAGCAGCCGCGGUAAUACGUAGGGUGCAAGCGUUAAUCGGAAUUACUGGGCGUAAAGCGUGCGCAGGCGGUUUUGUAAGUCUGAUGUGAAAUCCCCGGGCUCAACCUGGGAAUUGCAUUGGAGACUGCAAGGCUAGAAUCUGGCAGAGGGGGGUAGAAUUCCACGUGUAGCAGUGAAAUGCGUAGAUAUGUGGAGGAACACCGAUGGCGAAGGCAGCCCCCUGGGUCAAGAUUGACGCUCAUGCACGAAAGCGUGGGGAGCAAACAGGAUUAGAUACCCGAGUAGUCCCA